rnacentral:rRNA from 1 species
UACGGGGGGUGCGAGCGUUGUCCGGAAUCACUGGGCGUAAAGGGCGCGUAGGUGGUCUGAUAAGGGUGUGGUGAAAGUCCGGGGCUCAACCCCGGAUCUGCCGUGCCGACUGUCAGACUCGAGGACCGUAGAGGCAGGCGGAAUUCCGGGUGUAGCGGUGGAAUGCGUAGAGAUCCGGAGGAAGACCGGUGGCGAAGGCGGCCUGCUGGGCAGUUACUGACACUGAGGCGCGACAGCGUGGGGAGCAAACAGG